CCUACGGGAGGCAGCAGUGAGGAAUAUUGGUCAAUGGGCUUACGCCUGAACCAGCCAAGUCGCGUGAGGGAAGACUGUCCUAUGGGUUGUAAACCUCUUUUGUCAGGGAGCAAAUGGCGCUACGUGUAGCCUUUUCGAGAGUACCUGAAGAAAAAGCAUCGGCUAACGCCGUGCCAGCAGCCGCGGUAAUACGGAGGAUGCGAGCGUUAUCCGGAUUUUUUGGGUUUAAAGGGUGCGUAGGCGGAAUGCCAAGUCAGCGGUAAAAUCGCGGGGCUCAACCCCGCCCCGCCGUUGAAACUGGCGUUCUUGAGUGGGCGAGAAGUAUGCGGAAUGCGUGGUGUAGCGGUGAAAUGCAUAGAUAUCACGCAGAACUCCGAUUGCGAAGGCAGCAUACCGGCGCCCAACUGACGCUGAAGCACGAAAGCGUGGGUAUCGAACAGGAUUAGAUACCCGUGUAGUC
rnacentral:rRNA from 1 species